rnacentral:rRNA from 1 species
UUUGCCUAUGGGACGCAGCAGUGAGGAAUAUUGGUCAAUGGGCGCGAGCCUGAACCAGCCAAGUCGCGUGAGGGAGGACGGCCCUACGGGUUGUAAACCUCUUUGGACGGGGAGCAAGGCCGCCGACGUGUCGGCGGAAGGAGAGUACCCGUAGAACAAGCAUCGGCUAACUCCGUGCCAGCAGCCGCGGUAAUACGGAGGAUGCGAGCGUUAUCCGGAUUUAUUGGGUUUAAAGGGUGCGCAGGCGGCACGGCAAGCCGGCGGUCAAAUCGCGGGGCUCAACCCCGCCCAGCCGUCGGAACUGC